rnacentral:rRNA from 1 species
CCUACGGGCGGCAGCAGUGAGGAAUAUUGGUCAAUGGACGGAAGUCUGAACCAGCCAUGCCGCGUGCAGGAAGACGGCUCUAUGAGUUGUAAACUGCUUUUGUACAAGGGUAAACCUGAAUACGUGUAUUUAGCUGAAAGUACUUUACGAAUAAGGAUCGGCUAACUCCGUGCCAGCAGCCGCGGUAAUACGGAGGAUCCAAGCGUUAUCCGGAUUUAUUGGGUUUAAAGGGUGCGUCGGCGGAUUGAUAAGUUAGAGGUGAAAGUUCCGAGCUUAACCCGGGAAUUGCCUGUGAUACUGUGAAUCUAGAGUGUAGUUGAGGUAGGCGGAAUGUAUGGUGUAGCGGUGAAAUGCUUAGAGAUCAUACAGAACACCGAUUGCGAAGGCAGCUUACUAAUCUAUAUCUGACGUUGAGGCACGAAAGCGUGGGGAGCAAACAGGAUUAGAUACCCCUGUAGUC